rnacentral:sRNA from 1 species
AAUGAUAUGGUUGGCUGCGUUUGGAAUCAGCACUGGUUAUCUUGUUUAUCUCCUCCAUGAGGAAUAUGUUAUAUUCAAACAAUAUCCAUCCAUGACGUCUGCCUCUGUGAAAAGAGUUUCCUCUAUGCAGUUCCCUGCUAUUACAUUUUGUAAUAUGAGUCCCUACAACAAGUCAAAAAUUGCCAAAGACCCUAGAGAUGUUGAGUAUCUCUUGGCAAUUUCCCGUCUGAGUUCUUUUGUCGGACCAAUCAAUUGGUCAGACCCUUAUUUCCAAGACAACGGCUAUUUCAGACCAAGGACAAACAGCAAUAUCAAUCACUAUACUACCUCUACUGGAAACUCCAUGAACUUCAUUGCUUUUCUGAACGUGAACAACGACCAGAACUACCAAAGUAUAGACUACAGCAACGGAUUAAAAGCAGCUGUGCAUGAUCCCGGUGAACAUCCAGCCAUAGAGGAAAAUGGAUUCCUCGUCCCACCAGGCAGACUGGCACUGGCAACACUCUCCAAAACAACUGUAAUUACUCCAUUUGUUCUCAUUACCAAUUCUAUUAGUGUUAUUUUAACACCAGCUCCAUGUCAAACACAACGUUUUCAAGUAUUCCUAAACCUUGUUAUUGUCCACAACCUUGUCAGCAGACAACUUAUGACGUCAGAGUCUCUUAUGCUCUAUUCCCGUCAAACGAAACUGGAUCUUUUAUGGAGAGUCGAUUGGGUGUUUCCACAGAAUAUAUCAACAAACAUUGGCGGUCAGAUGGGACUUCUUUUGGGAGUAAAUCUAUUGUCUCUGUUGGAGAUUUUUGUAUUUUUGGUAAACUGUGUGAUAUGUCUGAUUAAGAAAUGUUGGAAUAGAAUUGCUUGUACGACCAAUGUCUCGAAGGUAAAAGAUGCUGGCUUUGCAUUUGAGAACUAAACCCAUGUAUUUGAAAUACGAAUACAGUUUGUACUUACCAUUGUAUUUUAUUUUAAUUGGUCUUUAACUCCC